rnacentral:rRNA from 1 species
UGAGGAAUAUUGGUCAAUGGGCGAGAGCCUGAACCAGCCAAGUAGCGUGCAGGAUAACGGCCCUAUGGGUUGUAAACUGCUUUUAUAUGGGAAUAAAGUGAGGGACGUGUCCCUUAUUGCAUGUACCAUAUGAAUAAGGACCGGCUAAUUCCGUGCCAGCAGCCGCGGUAAUACGGAAGGUCCAGGCGUUAUCCGGAUUUAUUGGGUUUAAAGGGAGCGUAGGCUGUUUGUUAAGCGUGUUGUGAAAUGUAAGAGCUCAACUUUUAGAUUGCAGCGCGAACUGGCAGACUUGAGUGCGCACAACGUAGGCGGAAUUCAUGGUGUAGCGGUGAAAUGCUUAGAUAUCAUGACGAACUCCGAUUGCGAAGGCAGCUUACGGGAGCGCAACUGACGCUAAAGCUCGAAGGUGCGGGUAUCGAACAGG